AACGAACGCUGGCGGCGCGCCUAACACAUGCAAGUCGAACGAGAAGCUGUAGCAAUACAGUUGUACAGUGGCGAACGGGUGAGGAAUACAUGGGUGACCUACCCUCGAGUGGGGAAUAACCAGCCGAAAGGUUGGCUAAUACCGCGUACGUUUCCCAGUCUGCGGAUUGGGAAGGAAAGCGAUGCCGUGGGUAUCGCGCUCAAGGUUGGGCUCAUGUCCUAUCAGCUGUUGGUGAGGUAACGGCUCACCAAGGCAACGACGGGUAGCUGGUCUGAGAGGACGAUCAGCCACACUGGCACUGCGACACGGGCCAGACUCCUACGGGAGGCAGCAGUGAGGAAUAUUGCGCAAUGGGCGAAAGCCUGACGCAGCGACGCCGCGUGGGGGAUGAAGGUCUUCGGAUUGUAACCCCUUUUCGGGAGGGAAGAGUGGGACGAGCAAUCGUUCGGACGGGUACCUCCAGAAGCAGCCACGGCUAACUUCGUGACAGCCGCCGCC
rnacentral:rRNA from 1 species